CCUACGGGAGGCAGCAGUGAGGAAUAUUGGUCAAUGGGCGAGAGCCUGAACCAGCCAAGUCGCGUGAGGGAGUACUGCCCUAUGGGUUGUAAACCUCUUUUGUCGGGGAGCAAAAGCCGGACGUGUCCGGCUGUGAGAGUACCCGAAGAAACAGCAUCGGCUAACUCAGUGCCAGCAGCCGCGGUACUACGGAGGAUGCGAGCGUUAUCCGGAUUUAGUGGGUUUAAAGGGAGCGUAGGUGGAUUGUUAAGUCAGUUGUGAAAGUGUGCGGCUCAACCGUAAAAUUGCAGUUGAAACUGGCAGUCUUGAGUACAGUAGAGGUGGGCGGAAGUCGUGGUGUAGCGGUGAAAUGCUUAGUUAUCACGAAGAACUCCGAUUGCGAAGGCAGCUCACUGGACUGCAACUGACACUGAGGCUCGAAAGUGUGGGUAUCAAACAGGAUUAGAUACCCUUGUAGUC
rnacentral:rRNA from 1 species